UGCGAGUGAAGCGGGAAAAGCUCAAAUUUAAAAUCUGGUAGUCUUUGGCUAUCCGAGUUGUAAUCUAGAGAAGUGUUACCCGCGCUGGACUGUUCACAAGUCUCCUGGAACGGAGCGUCAUAGAGGGUGAGAAUCCCGUCUUUGGAACAGACUACCAGGGCUUUGUGGUGUGCUCUCAACGAGUCGAGUUGUUUGGGAAUGCAGCUCUAAAUGGGUGGUAAAUUCCAUCUAAAGCUAAAUAUUGGCGRGAGACCGAUAGCGAACAAGUACCGUGAGGGAAAGAUGAAAAGAACUUUGGAAAGAGAGUUAAACAGUACGUGAAAUUGUUGAAAGGGAAACGCUUGAAGUCAGUCACAUUGUUUAGGGAUCAACCUUGCUUUUUGCUUGGUGUACUUCCUGUUCAAUGGGUCAACAUCAAUUUUGAUCAGUGGAUAAGGGUCAUUGGAAUGUGGCACCUUCGGGUGUGUUAUAGCCUUUGAUUGUAUACAUUGACUGGGAUUGAGGAACUCAGCACGCCGUAAGGCAGGGUUUUAAACCACUUUCGUGCUUAGGAUGUUGGCAUAAUGGCUUCAAUCGACCCGUCUUGAAACACGGACCAAGGAGUCUAACAUGCAUGCAAGUGUUUGGGUGGAAAACCCUUGCGCGAAAUGAAAGUGAAAAUUAGGAUCUCUGUCAUGGAGAGCACUGAUGCCCGGACCAGACCUUUUGUGACGGAUCUGCGGUUGAGCAUGUAUGCUGGGACCCGAAAGAUGGUGAACUAUGCCUGAAUAGGGUGAAGCCAGAGGAAACUCUGGUGGAGGCUCGUAGCGAUUCUGACGUGCAAAUCGAUCGUCAAAUUUGGGUAUAGGGGCGAA
rnacentral:rRNA from 1 species